rfam:Thalassiosira oceanica strain CCMP1005 To_g26448, whole genome shotgun sequence.
UCCCCCGUAGUGUAGGUGGUUAUCACACGAGCCUCUCACGUUCGUGACCUGGGUUCGAGUCCCAGCGGGGGAA